CCUACGGGUGGCAGCAGUGGGGAAUAUUGGGCAAUGGGCGCAAGCCUGACCCAGCAACGCCGCGUGAAGGAAGAAGGCUUUCGGGUUGUAAACUUCUUUUCUGAGGGACGAAGGAAGUGACGGUACCUCAGGAAUAAGCCGCGGCUAACUACGUGCCAGCCGCCGCGGUAAUACGUAGGUGGCAAGCGUUAUCCGGAUUUAUUGGGGGGAAAGGCCGUGUAGGCGGGAAGGCAAGUCAGAUGUGAAAACUCAGGGCUCAACCCUGAGCCUGCAUUUGAAACUGUUUUUCUUGAGUGCUGGAGAGGAAAGCGGAAUUCCGUGUGUAGCGGUGAAAUGCGUAGAUAUACGGAGGAACACCAGUGGCGAAGGCGGAUUGCUGGACAGUAACUGAUGCUGAGGCGCGAAAGCGUGGGGAGCAAACAGGAUUAGAUACCCUAGUAGUC
rnacentral:rRNA from 1 species